rnacentral:rRNA from 1 species
CGAGAAAGCCCGCAAGGGUGAGUAAAGCGGCGCACGGGUGCGUAACACGUGGGUAAUCUGCCCUAGAGUCCGGAAUAACUCGCCGAAAGGCGCGCUAAUGCCGGAUGAGACCACGGGAGCCUCGGCUCCUGCGGGAAAAGGUGGCCUCUGUACACAAGCUAUCGCUCUAGGAUGAGCCCGCGGCCCAUCAGCUCGUUGGCGGGGUAAUGGCCCACCAAGGCUACGACGGGUAGCUGGUCUGAGAGGACGAUCAGCCACACUGGAACUGAGACACGGUCCAGACUCCUACGGGAGGCAGCAGUGGGGAAUCUUGCGCAAUGGGCGAAAGCCUGACGCAGCAAUGCCGCGUGUGUGAUGAAGGUCUUCGGAUCGUAAAGCACUGUCGCGAGGGACG